GAUGAACGCUGGCGGCGUGCCUAAUACAUGCAAGUCGAGCGAACAGACGAGGAGCUUGCUCCUCUGACGUUAGCGGCGGACGGGUGAGUAACACGUGGAUAACCUACCUAUAAGACUGGGAUAACUUCGGGAAACCGGAGCUAAUACCGGAUAAUAUAUUGAACCGCAUGGUUCAAUAGUGAAAGACGGUUUUGCUGUCACUUAUAGAUGGAUCCGCGCCGCAUUAGCUAGUUGGUAAGGUAACGGCUUACCAAGGCAACGAUGCGUAGCCGACCUGAGAGGGUGAUCGGCCACACUGGGACUGAGACACGGUCCAGACUCCUACGGGGGGCAGCAGUAGGGAAUCUUCCGCAAUGGGCGAAAGCCUGACGGAGCAACGCCGCGUGAGUUAUGAAGGUCUUCGGAUCGUAAAACUCUGUUAUUAGGGAAGAACAAAUGUGUAAGUAACUAUGCACGUCUUGACGGUACCUAAUCAGAAAGCCACGGCUAACUACGUG
rnacentral:rRNA from 1 species